rnacentral:rRNA from 1 species
AGAGUUUGAUCAUGGCUCAGGAUGAACGCUGGCGGCGUGCCUAACACAUGCAAGUCGAGCGAUCUUCUUCGGAAGAGAGCGGCGGACGGGUGAGUAACGCGUGGGUAACCUGCCUCAUACACAUGGAUAACAUACCGAAAGGUAUGCUAAUACAAGAUGAUAUAAGAGAUUCGCAUGGAUUUCUUAUCAAAGCUCCGACGGUAUGAGAUGGACCCGCGUCUGAUUAGCUAGUUGGUAAGGUAACGGCUUACCAAGGCGACGAUCAGUAGCCGACCUGAGAGGGUGAUCGGCCACAUUGGAACUGAGACACGGUCCAAACUCCUACGGGAGGCAGCAGUGGGGAAUAUUGCACAAUGGGCGAAAGCCUGAUGCAGCAACGCCGCGUGAGCGAUGAAGGCCUUCGGGUCGUAAAGCUCUGUCCUCAAGGAAGAUAAUGACGGUACUUGAGGAGGAAGCCCCGGCUAACUACGUGCCAGCAGCCGCGGUAAUACGUAGGGGGCUAGCGUUAUCCGGAUUUACUGGGCGUAAAGGGUGCGUAGGUGGUUUCUUAAGUCAGGAGUGAAAGGCUACGGCUCAACCGUAGUAAGCUCUUGAAACUGGGAAACUUGAGUGCAGGAGAGGAAAGUGGAAUUCCUAGUGUAGCGGUGAAAUGCGUAGAUAUUAGGAGGAACACCAGUAGCGAAGGCGGCUUUCUGGACUGUAACUGACACUGAGGCACGAAAGCGUGGGGAGCAAACAGGAUUAGAUACCCUGGUAGUCCACGCCGUAAACGAUGAGUACUAGGUGUCGGGGGUUACCCCCCUCGGUGCCGCAGCUAACGCAUUAAGUACUCCGCCUGGGGAGUACGCUCGCAAGAGUGAAACUCAAAGGAAUUGACGG